rnacentral:sRNA from 1 species
AAAUAUAACAUUUGUACCGUAGACAGCAGGUGUCUCUAGGCUUAAUUUCCUGCCGAGGUAGUGCGAUAGAAUUAGCUGAGUUCAUUAGCUAUUUUUAAGCCUCUAUGUCUUGUCUACGAAGAUAUAGGGGCUUUUUACUU